UUAUUUUCUUAUUUUUUUCGGGCAUGUAUUAUGGUCAUUGAUGGAAACAUAAGUAUUUAUUAAACCUAUAAAAAAGUUACUGUUAAAAAAAGAAAAAAGUUUAAUAAUAAUAAUAUCUAAAUCCAAAUAAAAAAUAAUUUGUAUUCAUUUUUACGUCUCAACGACCAUAAAAUAAAUAUACAUUUUUCAAAACAUAAAUAACAAAUACAUAAACUUAAAUAAAAUGAAUGAAAAUUUGAAGGGACAAAAUCACUCCAACAUAGUUUCCAAAGUGUGUUAAAUGCUUAAUGUAGGGGUCUCCAAGUCCGGUCUUUGAAGCGUGCCUAUCACGCUGGUUCCUCACGCUAGAACAGCGUGAGGCAGAUGUUCCAAAACACCUGAUUCAUAUGAACUGCUCUCCUCCAGCCACUUCACCCCGCCUGGUCGGAAACACCCCCACAAUUGGGUGACAAAAAACACGCUGGAUAGGGGGUGCCCAGGACCAGACUUAGAGACCCCUGACAUUAAGAUAAGAUAUCCUUUAUCUGACCCACACUGGGGAAAUUUACAGUCUACAGCAGCAAAAUUGGGGUGGGUAGAAAGAAGAAAAACAAAGUGUUGGCAUUCACAAAAAUAAAUGUUUCCGUUUCAAUUAACACGGUUCAAUAAAAUGCAAUAUAAAUAUACACAUAGAUAAGGUAAAGUAACCAAAGCCAUAAAUGAACCAAAUUAGAACAACCACAGUUUUACAAAUACCUUUAUAUCUGCAUCAACCAAAAAAUAAAUGCAUUUUAGGCGUGUUGCAGUGUUUCAGUGCCCCUAAUAAAGUGUCCGGUGUGUGUAUUACGCCAUCUAGUGGACAAAAUUCAUGUGCUACUUUCGUGGGCUUUGCACUGCAGAGACUAUAAAUCAGGCAUUAAAUAAAGGAUAUUAAACAAAUAUAUAGUAUUGCUGAAUACAAUAUGAACAUUUGAAGUCCUCACUUGCACUAGUAAUUGUUUAAAAACAUUUUUUUCAAUUCCCAAAUAUUGUCAUGUUUUCCGUAUUUAAACAGCCAAAGUUUUUAGACUCACAAGUUAAAUUUGAUCACUGAGCAGACAUACAAAAAGGCAGCUGGGAACAUUCUGUUUUGUCUGUCUUGUUAAAUUCUAUGUCAAGCUGACACGGGGUGAAUCCAUUGCCGUCUUUGUACGGUCAUUUUUUUCUGCUUGUUGCACAUGGGAAGAGUCCAAAGAAUGAAAGUGUGUCACAUUGUCUCAGCUCUGGCAAAUUUUUUUUUCUUUUGGGCGGGACCAUGAGUGUUCUAAUUUCCCAUAUUGGUGGAGGAAGAAAAAGGCCAAGUUGGACACAUAUCAACUGAAUCAUGCAUCAACGUUGCUACCGUGAGCCAUUUAGAUUACACCCGCUAUGCCGGAAUUAUUUGCAAGAAAUAGUUUAACUCAGAUUCACCAUGUUUGAAUGUAGCCACUGAAGUUGAUAUAUAUAUUUAUACACACACACACACACUGUUAACUAUGGCAUGAAACAAUUGCAAUAAAAUGUUUUAAAUGUG